rnacentral:rRNA from 1 species
UAAUACCAGCUCUCCGAGUGGUGAGGACGAUUAUUGGGCUUAAAGCGUUCGUAGCCGGCUCAACAAGUCUUCCGUUAAAUCCAACGAUCUAAUCGUUGGGCCGCGGGAGAUACUGCUGGGCUAGGAGGCGGGAGAAGCCGACGGUAUUCUCGGGGUAGGGGUGAAAUCCUGUAAUCCCGGGAGGACCACCAGUGGCGAAGGCGGUCGGCUAGAACGCGCUCGACGGUGAGGGACGAAAGCUGGGGGAGCGAACCGGAUUAGAUACCCGGGUAGUCCCAGCUGUAAACGAUGCGGGCUAGGUGUUGGGGCGGCUACGGGCCGCUUCAGUGCCGCAGGGAAACCAUUAAGUCCGCCGCCUGGGGAGUACGGUCGCAAGGCUG